rnacentral:lncRNA from 1 species
GAGAUGUGGGGAGAGACGGCGAGAUGUGGGGAGAGACGGCGAGAUGUGGGGAGAGACGGUGAGAUGUUGGGAGAGACGGUGAGAGAUGGAAGACCAACUGACCAACAGACCAGUGUAUAUUUACUCACCCACAGAGUUGUUUAAAGACUGUUGUACGGUGGAGUCUAUAAAUAGGUAAAAGGUAUUCUAACAAACGUAGCAUACCCCCCCCAAGGUCUCCAUAGCCUCAUUACCUGACUGGUUACCAGGAGGUAUCAGACUCCGACACCGACUAGGGGGAGGUAUCAGACACCGUCACCGACUAGGGGGAGGUAUCCGACACCGUCACCGACUAGGGGGAGGUAUCCGACACCGUCACCGACUAGGGGGAGGUAUCCGUCACCGACUAGGGGGAGGUAUCCGACUCCGUCACCGACUAGGGGGAGGUAUCCGUCACCGACUAGGGGGAGGUAUCCGUCACCGACUAGGGGUAGGUAUCCGUCACCGACUAGGGGUAG